rnacentral:lncRNA from 1 species
GUGAUGUAAGUAGGAAAAAGGCUCUGUACCCAGUGUUGCAAAUGCAUUAACAUUUAGGCUUGAUAAUCGACUCCCUGCAAAGUAUAUCUGAAGCCCCUAGGGCAAAGGAAGAAGAAUUGAAAGGUUAUAAAAAACAAAAUUACUGCCUCCUAUCCCCUUUGCGACCUUCUUCCUCCCAGGCUUCCCUUUGCCCUGGCAGGUCCUUGCAGAGGGAGGCAUGGCCGGAAGCAUCUUCCAUAUCCAAGCUACCAUCGCUUUUCUCUGACAGUGGGGCCAAAUUUAUGCUACCUUACAAUAAAGAUUUUUAUCUUGUUCUCCCUCAGUUUUAAGGCUUCUUAGCUGCCUUAACAUUUUCUUGAACCAAAGAGUGCUCUGAAUACAUUCAUAGUCCCCAGAGCAUCUUCAAGAAUCUUUCCUAUGGAAAAAUACCAUGUAGCCAGUAAAUCAAGGAAAGGGGCACAGGACUGUUGAGAUUAUUUUGUGAGAAGAUCUCAGAAAGGUAAUGUCAGUUGCACUUCCCCUACAUGUGAUGUACUCAGGAAGACAAGAAUUGCAACAUUGCAGGAUGUUUAGUCAAUGAAAUGGGUUCCCUGGGCACACGUCAUGAUGUUCCUGAGUCUGCUUUUGUUGAAACACGGGUUGAGUUCUCUGCUGCUCAUUGUCUUAGUUCCUCUAUUUACAAGUCUAAAUUUUCAAGGUGAAAAGGCAACCUAUGGAAUGGGAGAAAAUAUUUGCACACUGUAUGUCUGAUAUGGGGUCAGUAUCCAAGAUCUACAAAGAACUCAUAAAACUCAAUAGCAAAAAAACCAAAUAACCCAAUUAAAAAAAUGGGCAAAGGACCUGAAUAGACAUUUCCUCAAAGGGGAAUAUAAGAAAGGCGAAUAGGUGCAUGAAAACAUGCUUAGCAUCGGUAUUCAUUAGAGAAAUGCAAAUUACGACCACAAUGAGAUAUGACCUCAUACCUGGUAGAAUGGCCAUCACCAAAAAGACAAGAGAUAACAUGCUGGCAUAGAUGUGGAGAAAAGGGAACCUUUGGGCACUGAUGAUGGAAUUGUAAAUUGGUUGCAGUCACUCUGGAAAACAGCAUGGCAGAUCCUUAAAAAAUUAAAAAUAGAGGUACCAUAAGAUCCAGCAAUUCUUCUGGGAAUAUAUCCAAAGCAAAUAAAAAUACUAAUUUAAAAAAAACCCCUGCA